rnacentral:rRNA from 1 species
UAGAGUUUGAUCAUGGCUCAGAUUGAACGCUGGCGGCAGGCCUAACACAUGCAAGUCGAGCGGUAACAGGAAUUAGCUUGCUAAUUCGCUGACGAGCGGCGGACGGGUGAGUAAUGCCUGGGAAUAUGCCUUGAUGUGGGGGAUAACUAUUGGAAACGAUAGCUAAUACCGCAUAAUGUCUUCGGACCAAAGAGGGGGAUCUUCGGACCUCUCGCGUCAAGAUUAGCCCAGGUGAGAUUAGCUAGUUGGUGGGGUAAGAGCUCACCAAGGCGACGAUCUCUAGCUGGUCUGAGAGGAUGAUCAGCCACACUGGAACUGAGACACGGUCCAGACUCCUACGGGAGGCAGCAGUGGGGAAUAUUGCACAAUGGGCGAAAGCCUGAUGCAGCCAUGCCGCGUGUAUGAAGAAGGCCUUCGGGUUGUAAAGUACUUUCAGCGAGGAGGAAAGGUUGUGAAUUAAUACUUCAUAGCUGUGACGUUACUCGCAGAAGAAGCACCGGCUAACUCCGUGCCAGCAGCCGCGGUAAUACGGAGGGUGCGAGCGUUAAUCGGAAUUACUGGGCGUAAAGCGCAUGCAGGUGGUCUGGUCAGUCAGAUGUGAAAGCCCCGGGCUCAACCUGGGAAUUGCAUUUGAUACUGCCAGACUAGAGUCCUGUAGAGGGGGGUAGAAUUUCA